UUGAGAGUUUAAAGAGAGAAGGAAAACUGAGAAAGCUCCGGCCAUUGUCGGUUUCUCAAUUCUCGUCCUUCCCGGGAUCGAAAGUUUAAAGAACUCUGCAAACUAUUUUGAGUUUUGCAGUCAUACCGAUUUGAGAGAGUUGAUGGAAAGAGUGAGCCUGCGGAAGAAGAACACAUUGAUGGAUGUUAUCAAGACACAGCAGAUCUCGGCAAGGCCAAUUGUUGCAGUCAUACCGAUUUGAGAGAGUUGAUGGAAAGAGUGAGCCUGCGGAAGAAGAACACAUUGAUGGAUGUUAUCAAGACACAGCAGAUCUCGGCAAGGCCAAUUGUUGCAGUCAUACCGAUUUGAGAGAGUUGAUGGAAAGAGUGAGCCUGCGGAAGAAGAACACAUUGAUGGAUGUUAUCAAGACACAGCAGAUCUCGGCAAGGCCAAUUGAGAAGUGCCCUUUGAAGAAGAUGAUAAGGACCCAAGCAUCUGGUUUCUUGACCACAACUACCAUGAAGCAAUGUUUUCUAUGUUCAAGAGAAUAAAUGACAAGGAGCAUGUUGUUGGUUGGUAUAGGCCCAAAACUGCGGGAAAAUGACUUGGAUAUUCUCGGAGUAUUCCAUGAGUAAUAUGUUAUUAAAGGAGACUAGGCCCCCCUUAUAUGGUUACGUACUAUUCUCACCAUUAGAGAAGUGCAUUGAGAGAAUAGUAAGGGGAGAAAUCUGUCUCCAUUGAAGAAGGAAGAAGGUUGUUCAUUCGUACAAGGACGGCAUCAAUAGCUGCUUAAAGUUUCGAUGGAAACAUAUCAUCGACGGUGAAUGGCAUGUCAUUUACCCUUUUUGUGUUGAAACGAUUUAUGGUGUAUUGGCAAGAUCUUUAUUAUGGUUUAGGAAUUGUGAUUCUAUAUAUUCUGUCACCAAGUUCCAAUUUUGGUCAUGGUACAGUUUACACACCUUCAUGGUAUCGUUUUCACACCUUUUAAAAAGUGAUUAAUAGGUUACAGAUGAAAAAGAGGGGUAAUCUAGGCAUUUAAAAAAAGCAAGGGAGAAGAAGAUGUAAAAAUCCAAAAGCAGGGGAGUAUCAGAAAAAAAGUUUGAGGUAGGGUAGUUUUUGUGAAUAUAGGCUAAGUUUGAGGUAGGGUAGUUUUUGCAAUUUCCCCGAAAUCUAAUUUCACUGAUAAGUCUCUUUAGAAAGGAUUUUUUUUUUUUUUUUUUUUUAUAAACAGAAUUUCAUUCAAUUAAAGCUAAGAAAUACAAGGCAGACAGAGGUAUGAAAAACACAAGGCUUAGGUAUAAAAUACCGAAAGCCUAAGAAUGGAAUGUGACCAAGCUGCUUGACAUGCCAAAGGCAACCUUUUAGGGUAGGGAAUGGUCGAAACCAAAAGAUUCCCUAACAAACUUGCCGUAAAAAUAGCACCAAUCGGAUACAAUAUCCUUCAUCAAGUGGAUAGGUCUAUCCAAAGUGGCCAAUAGUGUGGCGCAUUCCAGACACAAAGCAUCACGGUAUGCAUAUGACCCAACACAAGACCAAUAAUUGACAAAGCUGACCAACACUUUAUGCUUCUUGAACAUGAUGGCCAACACAAAGUCAGCCAAAUUGCUGUAGACACAGCUUACAGGACAAUCAGUUACAGGACCCACAUAUUGGGUAGAAUAAAAAAGAACAAGGGGCAUGGCGAACAUAACCGCAUAGGGCUUGGGCAUGGCAGACAGAAUUCCAUAUGGAAUGAUGGGUGACAACUUGUCUAGGCCCCACAUUCUAUAAAGUCCACUUACCAAAUCACAUGAUUAUGGCUUGGAUACUCCGAUCCAGAAUGGUCGGGGUAUGACCACCAACUCCACUGCCGACAAAGUCACCAUUGACGAAACCAUCGCUAACAAAGCCAUCUUUGGUUUCGAAUCCAAUGCAAACUCCAUCUCCCCAAUUUCUGAGCACUCCAGUGUCGCCCACCGAUGCCUUGGGCCGAGAUCAGUCAAGGCCCCAAUUGUAGGUGUUGGUGUUGACCCUAAAUCUGCCUCGGAUGGAAAAACCACGGUCCCAACAACAACUUCGACGAUGAGAAUUGAGAUUGCAACAAUAGCAACAGAUCCCGCUCCCGCAUCAGCGAUGCCGAGAAAAGCAAAAAGGGCGGAGAAAACAUGGUUAUUCUGACAGCAGCUCAAAUGGGUAGACAAGAAAGACCUCAGAUCGACGAUCUCUAUGUUCCUCGUCAAGUCCACAAGUGGACGCACCUCUCCCAUAUCCCUCCUCCCCUGCUUACCGACAACAACGAACUGGCCCAGAAGCAUCUCCUGGAUCAGAGUGCCUUUGAAUGAGGAGCCAGAAAAAGAGCUAGGGUGAAACAGAUCAGAGGAUCUCUUCCUCUCUCCCGAAGUCCCAACAAGUCUAAUAAUUGUUGCGAUAACUGAUUCGGAACCCCGAGAGGGCGUAAGGGCUGCGGCGAAUAGCGCUCGAGAUACAUUAUCAUCGUUGUCAUCAGCAGCUUCGCCACCAUCGUGUACGGACUGCAAGUCAUGGCAAACCCUCUUACAGGAUAGGAGGACACACACAAGGGCGGAAACAACCAACAAGCACAAAAAGGGGAACUACACGCACAAAACAAUGGAAAGUCAAAUAGCGGCGGAAAAAAAAAGCUAGAGCGGAGUAUGGUCUGCGUCACCGCCUUUAAUAGACGGAGGAGGGGGUCCGAGAGGGUUAUGUCAUUUAUGAGCAUAUUUAUCUGUUUUGUCCUUUCAUCAUCUCUAUAGAUACCUUUUCCUUUAUUGUCAUGUGCUCUUUACAUAUCUUGAUUAGGAAGAGAUUGACAAGCAAAUUCUUAACCAAUUCAUUCCACCCAAGAAAAAAGCAAGAGAGGAUUGUAGAACAAGUUUCAUUCUUAACCUUUUAGGUUUCGCUUACGCAAGCCAUGGUUAAGUUCAUGACGUAUGCACUUAAUGUUGGAAGGAUUAGAGUAGUGUAUUAAUCUUAACCAAUAGCGCACUAGUUACAUUUUCCUAUGAAAACCAGCCGGUCUUCUAUUUCUUUCCUGGCUUAAAACACAUCAUUUGAUAUGCAAGAGAUUGAUUGCUAGAUCUCUAGAGAUUAAGGAGUUCAGAAUCCAAGGCAAUAUUAUGUCAUUGCAUCUUUCAUUCUUUCCCAUAUAAAAGAUUUGAUCUGAGGCAUUCGGUCUAGUAGUUUCCCUUGAACAAAACAAAAUUUUCUGUUCAUAGGCAAGAAGGCUAUACACAUCAACUAUACUUCCAUGAUUAAUAAUUGUCUUCAUUAAGUGGGGGCAGAAACCAGAAUAAUACCUGGGUUAUCUGAUGGAUGUAAAUAGAAGGAUAAGGAGGAAGGGCGGUAUAGGAGCCCCCGCGUCCCUUCGAUCCACAGAAUAUUGUAAAGUAAGAGUCAUCUCUUGUAUGUCUUUCUCUCAUGAAUAUUUCCACGUAUGUAGUGUCAUCUUAUUCUGCCUACGUGUGAGGAGUUGUUGGGAGUUAUAGAGUUAUAUAAUAAUCCCAAAAUGAUAGUAUUGGACCCACUAGAACAAUAUUCAAAGCAAAGAUCUUUGACCAAAAGAGAAAUCUAAGUACAACUCUCCUAUUCUUUCACUGCUCGCAAGGCAAGAACAAUUAAAGAUUAUGAGGGAACAUGAGUCCAACAAUAAGCCUGCUUUUCUUUUGAUGCAAGGGUUUCCUUGGGGACUACUGAUCAUGAUUCUUUAGAAGCUCCUUUUAAAUAGCCUACGAUGUAUCUUUCAAUCAAUUCAUCAAACAUUUUACGUUGUUUGGGUCUGUAAGUGUGUGUGUGUGUGUGUUGCUGCGUGAGAGAGAGCUUGUGAUAAACCGUGGAUUUUACUGGGCUGCAAGAAAUGGUGAUACUGGGCUGCUAAACCAACGCGAAAUCCCUGACUUAGAUCAGCAAACAACGGAGCCCACAUCGAACGCAGCCCUUCAUAUUGCUGUGUACUAUGGACAAGAGCAGUUUGUGCAAGAGCUCUGCAGGCAGUGUCCGUCGCUCCUUACACAGUACAACUCCCAGGGCGACACUCCGCUGCAUGUCGUGGCAAAGACUGGAAAUCACGGUAUAGCUCGUUUUCUUAUCUCAAAUUCACCUGCUGGUAUUGAUAGUGCAGGUGCAGCUGAGAAGCUGAGAUUGAGAAACAAGGAUAAUUAUAUGCCCUUGCAUGAGGCUAUUGAAAACAAUAAUCUUAAGUUGCACAGUUGCUGACUGAGGCCGACCCUGGUUGGCCAUAUUGCGAUAACAAAGAUGAUGCCGCCACCACCAAGGCCAAUGAGUCGUCUCUGCUAUACUUGGCUGCUCUAAUGGGAGAGUUAGAAAUGGUAAAGCUGAUCCUACAACACCUAGCAGCUUAUGAUGGACCCAAAGGCGAGAAAGCCUUGUAUGUGGCUGUGCACUGGAACCAUUUUAGUAACCUCAACUCUUCUCCUUUUAUUAUUAUUAUUUUUCUUUUUUUUAGGAAGCGGGAUGGGGUGGUAUUGGAAGUUAGAGUGAGGAAUUAAUGCACCGUUGACUUGUGGUUUAAUACACAUGCUGAUGGACGUUGGAUCCCAUGAGCAUAGUGGAGAGGACAAGAUUUGGCUCUUUGCUGGGAGCCAAAAAAAUGGAAUCUAGAAGGGUAUUUUUUACAAUAUAAAAAUGUAGAGGAAUAUUUAUGAACCAAAAGGAGAAGGUAAAAGAUUCUAUUUCUUUGGCUGUCAAUAGGGUUGCCGCAACCCUUUAGCAGCCAAAUUUUUUCAGGUGGAGAGUAGCUUGCACGUAUGGACGGCCUGUGUUAAUUCCAACCCCCUUCCAAUUCACUCUACAGUCAAUGGGUUUGACAGAAUUUUCAAACGAGAUAUCUGAUGACCAUGGGAAUGUAAAAUUCCCGCGCAGGCUAACCAGACCUCGGAUCCGAGCUUGAGCAUACCCAGCCUCAGCACAAGCUGGAAAAACUUCCUUCAUGGUAGUAUAAACAGGGUUCUGUGCUUUUCGUGUGCGUGUGUGUGCAGCCAGUGGUAAGUUCAUGUAUGAAGCUGGCAAUCUGGAGGAAUCUAAUCAGAAAUCCAGCUGAUUUCGGACAGAUUGGUCAAUCUUGAGUUGCAACAACUUUCCUGCUACCCCGGGCUCGCAGCCAAAGAAAUGGAAUCUCGAAGAGUAUAUUGAAAAAUACAAAAAUCUAGGAAGGUAUUUGUGGGAAGUGAAUUAUUCCAUUUCUUUAGCUACAAGCCCAGGUAGCAGCAAAUUUUUUUUUUCCUUUUAAUACAGUGGUGUUGGGACUUGAGACCUCUUUUUUCAUUUAUCCUUUGUAUGUGUCAGGAAUUGUAGAAGCACUUAUAGACGAGAAUAUACAAACACAUAGGGGCAGGUGAAAAUCGAAAAAAUCCUCUCCACUAUGCAGCAAUAUAUGGGAACCAUUGGAUAGUAGAGAAGUUGAUAUCGAAAUACCCAUGCAGUGCCUAUAGGUUGGAUGAAAAUGGUUCUUCCCCACUUCACAUUGCAGCAAGUAAAUCCCACCUUAAAGUAGUUGGGAGAGCUGAUCAAACAUUGCCAGAUUGUAUGGAGAAGCUAAGCAAGAAAGGAAAGUCCAUUCUUGGUUUUGCAGUGGAGAGUAGAAGUUUAAUAAUGGUGAUCUAUGUUGUGGAUAUAUUGGUUCUCAGAACAUUGAAGAACUAGCAAGACAACGUUGGAAAUAACCCUUUCCAUCUAGCUGCCAAACUCAUUUCUUAACAGGAUUUCUUUCUUUUUGUAUUCGAUUCGAAGCAACAUUAUAAGACACUUAACAAGGAACAGUGGACAGCCUUUCAUUUUAUUGAUAAGCAGCAUUUCCACUCAACAUUUUCCUUGGUAUGUUACCGAGAACCCCAUGUCAUGGUUCUUUUGUGUUGUUUCGUUCAAAACUUGAUUACUUUAUUUCAUUCUUUUAGUCCUACUAAAGAAUCUAGACUAUGAUUCUAGGAAUGGAGAUGAAACAAAAGGAAAUGGGGAGCCAGAACCCAAGAGAGAGACAGUGACUCUCAUCCGAGAUCUUAAGAUUGGAGAUGAAACAGAAGAGAAUAAGGAAC